GAUGAAGAACGCAGCAAAAUGCGAUAAGUAAUGUGAAUUGCAGAAUUCAGUGAAUCAUCGAAUCUUUGAACGCACAUUGCGCCCCCUGGUAUUCCGGGGGGCAUGCCUGUCCGAGCGUCAUUACAACCCUCAAGCUCAGCUUGGUAUUGGGCCCCGCCGACCCGGCGGGCCCUAAAGUCAGUGGCGGUGCCGUCCGGCUCCGAGCGUAGUAAUUCUUCUCGCUCUGGAGGUCCGGUCGUGUGCUCGCCAGCAACCCCCAAUUUUUUUCAGGUUGACCUCGGAUCAGGUAGGGAUACCCGCUGAACUUAAGCAUAUCAAUAAGCGGAGGA
rnacentral:misc_RNA from 1 species